UCAGAGGCGUCUGAAGGUCCAUAGGUCCACCCAGAAGGUCCACAGGGCCACCUAAAGGUCUCCAAGAGCACCCCUGAAGGUCCAUCAGGUCACCCAGAAAUGCAUCCGUCCACCCAGAAGGUCUCCGAGACUCCCCCUGAAGGUCCACAGGUCCACCCAGAAGGUCUCCAAGACCCCCUAGAAGGUCUACAGGUCCACCUGAAGGUCUCCAAGACCCCCUAGAAGGUCCAUCAGACCACUCUGAAGCUCCACAGGUCCAUCCGGAACGUUCACAGAACCCCCCAGAAGGUCCAUGCGAUCC